rnacentral:lncRNA from 1 species
GCCUACGUAAAUUUAAAAAAACAGGUUCGGGAGCCGGUUAUGUAUGAGGAAGGAUUAGCACCCUCACUACGGUCAAAAUUGGUACCAAUUUGAUUAAGUACUGUCAUUAUGUCUAAGAUUUAAAAAGACUUUGAAAUAUGGUUCCAUUUAAAACAUUUGAGUGGCUCAACUUAGUCGUCAAAAUUCUCUCGUUUCAAAGGAAUACAGCAUCACAUCCA